CCUCUAUUGUGUGAUCAUUGGUGGAUUGAGGCAAGAGGACCAAGUGGAGUGACCAACCCUUGGGGUUGUGUGCAAUUGAGGAAAGCUCAAAGAGCAAGGUACUGAUAGAGGUGAGGUUGAUCGAGGCAAGAAGCGUGAGUAGACUGUACCUGAUAGCUGGACAUGUUGAGUUGCAUGCCAUUUAGCAUUGCUAUAUGUAUAUUUUGAUGCCACAUGAUGUAUUUUGGAGGACUUAGUGCAUGAUCAUUGUAGUAGUAAUGGGUAUCUGAUA